rnacentral:lncRNA from 1 species
GGAGAGAGAUUGGACGGUCUGGAAGUCAACGUCGUUUGAGGACUUCUGUCUGUCCACCUGCAGCUGGGCAAGCCGACGGUUGAUUUCUUCGAACCUACGUUCGUAGUCGUCGAUUCGUCGGUGCUGAGAGACCCCGGGGGUGGAGUCUCCCGAUAAGUCUGAGAGAGAGGCGGACGGUGUUCGUUGUCGCUUUUCGUUCCUCGCUCGUUCCAGCU